UACGUAGGGGGCGAGCGUUGUCCGGAAUUACUGGGCGUAAAGGGCGCCUAGGCGGUUUUUUAAGUCCGCUGUGAAAGACCGAGGCUCAACCUCGGGAUGUCAGCGGAGACUGGAAGACUGGAGUGUCGGAGAGGAGUGCGGAAUUCCUGGUGUAGCGGUGGAAUGCGUAGAUAUCAGGAGGAACACCGAUGGCGAAGGCAGCACUCUGGCCGAAGACUGACGCUGAAGCGCGAAAGCGUGGGGAGCGAACAGG
rnacentral:rRNA from 1 species